rnacentral:rRNA from 1 species
AGGCCUUCGGGUCGUAAAGUUCUGUUGUUAGAGAAGAACAAGUACGAGAGUAACUGCUCGUACCUUGACGGUACCUAACCAGAAAGCCACGGCUAACUACGUGCCAGCAGCCGCGGUAAUACGUAGGUGGCAAGCGUUGUCCGGAAUUAUUGGGCGUAAAGCGCGCGCAGGCGGUUCCUUAAGUCUGAUGUGAAAGCCCACGGCUCAACCGUGGAGGGUCAUUGGAAACUGGGGAACUUGAGUGCAGAAGAGGAGAGCGGAAUUCCACGUGUAGCGGUGAAAUGCGUAGAGAUGUGGAGGAACACCAGUGGCGAAGGCGGCUCUCUGGUCUGUAACUGACGCUGAGGCGCGAAAGCGUGGGGAGCGAACAGGAUUAGAUACCCUGGUAGUCCACGCCGUAAACGAUGAGUGCUAAGUGUUAGAGGGUUUCCGCCCUUUAGUGCUGCAGCAAACGCAUUAAGCACUCCGCCUGGGGAGUACGGCCGCAAGGCUGAAACUCAAAGGAAUUGACGGGGGCCCGCACAAGCGGUGGAGCAUGUGGUUUAAUUCGAAGCAACGCGAAGAACCUUACCAGGUCUUGACAUCCUCUGACAACCCUAGAGAUAGGGCGUUCCCCUUCGGGGGACAGAGUGACARGUGGUGCAUGGUUGUCGUCAGCUCGUGUCGUGAGAUGUUGGGUUAAGUCCCGCAACGAGCGCAACCCUUGAUCUUAGUUGCCAG